AUGAUCUACCUAAGCUGGAACUGCCGAGGGCUUGGGAACCCCGAGGCAGUUCGCGAGCUUCGCAAUGUUGUGAAGCAAUAAGGGCCCGUGCUGGUCUUUGUUAUGGAGACGAAGAUCAAAAGGAGACGUGUUGAGAAUUUGAAGCAGACCUUGGGGUUUGCUGGCUGCUUCGUAGUGGACAACGAUGGACUCAGUGGGGGCAUCGGUCUCUAUUGGUCCAAAGAUGUUUCUGUCGAGCUCAAGAACUACAGUUCAGCCCACAUCGAUGUUGUGGCGCGCGAUGCCCUUGAUAACUCUGCUACAUGGAAAUUCACUGGCUUCUAUGGAGCUCCAAGAGCCGAAAAUAGACAUCACAGUUGGCGGUUCCUUUGUACCCUACAUGGCCUGCCACACUCAGCGUGGUAA
rnacentral:rRNA from 1 species